rnacentral:tRNA from 1 species
GGUUUAGUACUUUAUAGAAGAGAAGAUCUGGUUUGCAACUAGAAAGAAGAUAAUUAUCUCUUAACCA